AAUAGAUGACGCUAUUGAUUUUUUCUCACAUGUUUGACCAUUCGUCUUAUUCAAAAAAUUUACGCAAUUAUAAUUUAUUUUGUUAUGAGUUGUUUUAUCACUCAUAGUACUUUAAGUGUGAUUUAUAUCUUAUACAUUUGCAUAAAAUUUUUGAAUAAGACGAAUGAUCAAAUAUAUGAGAAAAAAAUCAACGACGUCAUCUAUU
rnacentral:pre_miRNA from 1 species